rnacentral:rRNA from 1 species
GACGAACGCUGGCGGCGUGCUUAACACAUGCAAGUCGAACGGAAAGGCCUUUUCGGAGGUACUCGAGUGGCGAACGGGUGAGUAACACGUGGGUGAUCUGCCCUGCACUCUGGGAUAAGCCUGGGAAACUGGGUCUAAUACCGGAUAGGACCGCACUUUAGUGUGUGUGGUGGAAAGUUUUUUCGGUGUAGGAUGAGCCCGCGGCCUAUCAGCUUGUUGGUGGGUUAAUGGCCUACCAAGGCGGCGACGGGUAGCCGGACUGAGAGGUUGGUCGGCCACAUUGGGACUGAGAUACGGCCCAGACUCCUACGGGAGGCAGCGGUGGGGAAUAUUGCACAAUGGGCGCAAGCCUGAUGCAGCGACGCCGCGUGGGGGAUGACGGCCUUCGGGUUGUAAACUCCUUUCGCCAGGGACGAAGCGUUUUGUGACGGUACCUGGAGAAGAAGCACCGGCUAACUACGUG